rnacentral:rRNA from 1 species
GACGAACGCUGGCGGCGUGCUUAACACAUGCAAGUCGAACGGAAAGGCCCUGCUUGCAGGGUACUCGAGUGGCGAACGGGUGAGUAACACGUGGGUGAUCUGCCCUGCACUUCGGGAUAAGCUUGAGAAACUGGGUCUAAUACCGGAUAGGAACCAUCUUUAGUGUGGUGGUUGGAAAGUUUUUUCGGUGUAGGAUGAGCUCGCGGCCUAUCAGCUUGUUGGUGGGGUAAUGGCCUACCAAGGCGGCGACGGGUAGCCGGCCUGAGAGGGUGUACGGCCACAUUGGGACUGAGAUACGGCCCAGACUCCUACGGGAGGCAGCAGUGGGGAAUAUUGCACAAUGGGCGCAAGCCUGAUGCAGCGACGCCGCGUGGGGGAUGAAGGCCUUCGGGUUGUAAACUCCUUUCGCUAGGGACGAAGCUUUUUGUGACGGUACCUAGAUAAGAAGCACCGGCUAACUACGUG